GGGCGGUUAGCUCAGUUGGUAGAGCGCAAUCUUGACGUGAUUGAUGUCAGAGGUUCGAUUCCUCUACCGCCCACCA
rnacentral:tRNA from 1 species